rnacentral:tRNA from 1 species
GCAAGGAUGGCGAAAUUGGUAGACGCGCUGGCCUUAGGAGCCAGUCCCGAAAGGGGUGGGGGUUCAAGUCCCCCUUCUUGCACCA